rnacentral:rRNA from 1 species
UACGUAGGGUGCAAGCGUUGUCCGGAAUUAUUGGGCGUAAAGGGCUCGUAGGCGGUCCAUCGCGUCGGGAGUGAAAAGCUGGGGCUCAACCCCAGUCCUGCUUCCGAUAGGGUGGACUAGAGGUAUGCAGGGGAGAACGGAAUUCCUGGUGUAGCGGUGAAAUGACGCAGAUAUCAGGAGGAACACCGGUGGCGAAGGCGGUUCUCUGGGCAUUACCUGACGCUGAGGAGCGAAAGCGUGGGGAGCAAACAGG